rnacentral:lncRNA from 1 species
UGAAAGCUAUGAUUUCAUAAUUUUUAAACCAGUGUAAUAGAACAUGAAGCGAAAAAGAAGAUGGAAAGAUGAAGAAUAAUAAUACAACAUGCUUGUUACCUCAAUACAUUAAUAAGGGUAAUUAACGGUCUACAAAUACAUUUUGUUUGUUAUUUUGAGGAGGACUUGUUUCAUUUUAUUUACGUGCAUUGAUGUCUUCCCAAAAUCAGAAGUUUUUAAUGAACUUCGGGAAUGUUGACUGCCACUCGUAGUCAUAUAACAUUUGUUUGCGCUUUACAUACGCAUCGACUGUAAUUGCUAGAAAUAGCCCCGCAAGAGAAAUUCAAGGCACGGUAAGAAGCAGAUGAUUCCUCUGUUGGAGAAAAAAAAUUCAGUUUUUAAGAUUUAAAAAGAAAAAAUUUUUUAGGAUCGAUUUCAUACAAUAUAUAAGAAUUCAUAAUUUAAAAAUCGUACCUUAAAAAUUUGAGAAAAUGAACAAUCUUUGCUUUUUUCUACGAAGUGAUUUAAGCUCACAGAUUGCGAUAUGUCACUACCACCCCUGUUAGAUCACGAUCCGUUACCACAGCGCUGGUUAGAUCACGAUCCGUUACCACCACGCUAGUUAGAUCACGAUCGGUCACCAAAUAAUCUUUCGGAUUAUGAUUCAGGUUUGAUCUGCACUUGACGUGUGAGGGCUUUUAUCACUACUAUAAGCAAUUAGCAGAAGAAAAUUUUUCUCUCAAAUUUAGAGAGAAAUUUUUUUGUCUUUGAUCUGUAUAAAGUGGCUGCUCCUGCUUUUGGAAAAAAAAUAAGCCUUUUUAUAUCUUUAUCUAGUGAAAAUCUUAGACUCCAAAAAACAAAAGUCACGAUUACUUACUUUUUCUUGUCAUAAGGGUCCACCUUGUAAAAUAACAUAAGAUCCCUUAGAAAUAAACACAUUAUAUGGAGCCUCGCACUAAAUAAUAUAUUUAAACUUUUAACCCAAAUAGUUAGUUAUCUUGCUUAUUAAUCCAGUAGCGGCGCAGUCAAUUAAAUGAGCUAACCUGAGAAUCAAAUUGGUACAUACAAUAGUGGAUACAAUAAUUAGACAUAUAAUUAAACUAGCUAAAUUAUUUAAUUUUAAAUCUACUCCACUAAAAGAUUGGAACUGACCUCCAUAAUUGUAUGAUAUCCAAGAUAGUGUUCUCGAAUAAUAAUUCGAACCAUGCUACAUUGAUUUCUUUACUGCAUAAUCAUUUGUACCACAUCGUUAAUUAAAUCGAUAUCUCAACUGUCUAAUUGAUUUAAUAACAUCUUAUUCCUUGAUACUUAUUGAUUUUCUUUAAUGAUCAUUUUCAACAUACUAAAUAUGUUGACACACUCUGACUAGAGAAUUCUAUUAUCAAGUGCCGAAAACCCAUUACCAGAUGUGUCGUACAAAUUUUACUUUGUUAAUCUAUAAUUUCAAUACUCAUAAUUUCUCCCACCAAGAUACUGGGUAAUCUUGACCACAAGUGUGUGUUGCGCUUAUUGGUAACUCAAAUGUAAUAAUAAUUACAAUUAUGAAAUCAUAACUAACUCAAGAUUAAGAUUACAGUAAAAUUAAUAGCUAUGAGAUUUAAUAAGUCUGACAGUUAUUUCAAAGUUAAUUAAAUCGCAUAUGUGAUCCAGCUCAAUGUAGUUAAACUACAUCAGUAAAUUCAUACAUGAUUAAGACAAAUCAUUCAAUUAAUUUACUACAGUUUAAACCUAAAUAAAGUGCCCAACUUUAUUUAUCAACUGCGAACUUAAUUUAUUUAAUCAUAAGAUAACUUGUAUUUAUGUCUUCUGUGAAUCCACAUGGUGAUCACAUAAAUACAUAUAAUAUGAUUAAAUAGACUUUACUAAAAAAAUUAUGCAAUUAAGAUAUUUAUUACAAUUAAAUAAACUAUGCAAUAGAUAGGGAUGGCAAAAAUCUCCACGGGGACGGGUACCUUCGCGGAUUUUCCCUAUUCGGGGAGGGUAUAAGGAUAAUUUCAUACACAAUUUCUUAUUCGGGGAAGGGACAGUGAAAUUUUUUUACCCAAUUUCUUAUUCGAGGAGGGGACGAGGAUGAGGUGGAAUCCCCAUCCCCUACCCAUUUCCCCAUUUUAAUUUUUAAUUUUAAUUUUAUUUUUUAAAAUUACUAGUAAAUAAAUUAUAAAAUUUGAAUUAUAAAAUUAUAAAUAUUGGUAAAAAUAACAAAUAUCAAAAUAUUUAUAUUAUUAAACUUUUAGGCCUAAUUAACUAAUUAAAGUCCUAAAUUUUUAUUUAGGACAUUAAAAAAACCAGGUAAAUUCUAUUAGCCCAAAACUUUGUUUUAAUUUUAAUAUUCAUUAAAUGUUUUAAACUUAAAUCUAUUUUUAAUUUAUUUUUAGAUGUUAUAAUUGUCCACAACGAAUCACAAUUUUAAUAUCUAAUUUAAUCUAACCUAAUCUAAUCUAAUCUAAUAUUUGCUCUUGAUUUGCUCCGACUUAAUUAUUGUGUUGUAAAGGGAAUAGUCCACAUUUAUAAAGUGCCCACGCCACCAUUGAAAAAGUUAAUUUUGAAUCUAAAUUUAAUUUUAUUUGUAAUAAUUUUGUAUUAGACUAUUAAUUUAUUCACGAUAGUUUGUAAAAGAAGUUUGUAUUUCUUUCAUGCUGCGUUACUUACUAAUUUAAUGUAUGUGACUUUUGUAAUGGAUAUUAAUGUAAGAUAUAUUUCAAACUGUACUUUUUAUUUGAAUUUUUUAUUUUAAUAUGAUUAACUGAAAAUCGAAAACAAAAAAUAUAUUAGUUAUUCGGGGAUCGGGGACCCUUGGGAUCCCCUAUUAUUAUUCGGGGAGGGGAUGAAAAUUCUCUCAAGUAAUUCUGACAGGGACGGGGAGGGGACGGGGACAUACGCAAAAUAUCGGAGAUGGGUACGGGGAGAUUGCUCCCCUCCCCUCCCCUCCCCAUUGCCAUCCCUAGCAAUAGACUUUACUCAAAAAAAUUAUUUAUUACAAUUAAAUAAACACACAUGCUUUGAAAGAAUAUAUUUUCCCAACAUCCUCCACCAGCACUAGGCUGUCUUUGUUUCAGAAACUAGCAAAUAGUAAGAUCACAGCAGCGAGCGACAAAAAUAUUUCUCACCUCCCUUCUGCUAUGAUAACAGCUAGCUGUGUGACAUUUACUGGGAAGAGUAAUGCAUCAAUUCCUUCACUAUGAUCGUCAACUGGAUUUUCUCUUUGGCUUUUCUUCUUGCUGUUACUUCUUUUAUUAGAUGAUGAAGGCGUUGGCGUGUCUUCGUUCAAAAAGCUUGCUGUUAUAUCUUUAAAAUCCCAACCUGUCAAAUAACUUGGCUUUGAAACAACUGUGCCAACUUCUAUAUCCCCAGCAAGCAUGGCCACAACGCGUGACAUUGGUGGCCUCAUCAUUGGUGAUGUUUGAGUGCACAAGAGAGCUACUCCUAUCACCCGAAGAGCUUCCUUGUCGUUAAACUCUGUUAAUGUAGGAUCUACAAGCCCCAAACUUUGAUUAUUUUCAUGGAGAUUCCAAGCCUAGAAACAUCAUAUAGACAAUAAUUCAGAUAAAGAUUUAAAAAAUUAAGUUUCUUUAACCAGAAGAAUGCAGAGAUAAGAAAGGAAGAAAGCAGAAGUAAGUUCAAGAUUAUUUUCUUCACCCAUUCGAGAAGAUAAAUCUUUUCCAUAUCCAAACUUUUGUCAGAGCUUGCUCUUCCACUUAUGAUCUCCAACGCAACAACGCCAAAACUGAAAACAUCGGCCUUCUCUGUCAAGUGUCCGCGCAUUGCAUACUCCGGUGCCAAAUAUCCACUACAAGAUCAAUAGUUAUCGAUCAAAAUCUCCAAACUCCAUUGUAUCCAAAAAUUGGAAGAUAAGGCCUGUAUUAUGCACUAUGGAAUUAUCAUUUUUGGAAGAAUGGUAAGAAGAAAUGUUAAAGGAGAUUACACGGUCCCUGCAACUCUUGUGCUGAUGUGGGUUUUCUUGUCAUCAUACAGCUUUGCCAAUCCAAAAUCCGAUAUCUUGGGGCAGAGCUCUGCAUCAAGUAAAAUAUUACUUGCUUUGACAUCUCGAUGUACAAUCCUAGGCCUGGAUUCUUCGUGAAGAUAAGCCAGCCCUCUUGCUGUUCCCAAGCAUAUGCUGAACCUGGUAGGCCAAUCCAGAUGCAAUUCAUUGUCUCCUGCAGAAAUGUUGGCUGCAGUGGUUAGAAAUUUAUGGAGUUACAGAAGGGCAAAUUGACAAUUCAUUUAUCUGCAUGAGGUCUCACUGAGACAUUGUCAAUCAGCUUUAGGAUAGUGAUUGUGGCUAAUUUGCAGUUAUGGACAUUGUCUAAACAAUAUAUUCUGGAUUUAAGAUUACAAAAUAGAUCAUGCUAUUUCCAAAAGUCAGUGACUCAGCACUUUCUUCUUUGAAUUCUUUGCCUCAGCAACCAAGUUAAAACACGGCGUUUGCGCUAUUUUCUACUACUUAUUAGUAGUAAGAAUGAAUUGAUUAUCAUAGAGUAAGAAUGAAUUGAUAAUCAUACCGAACAAUACUUGAUCGAGGCUUUUGUUUUCAAGAUACUCAUAAACAAGGAGGCGCCUGGCUCCUUCAAUGCAGCAUCCAUACAAUCUCACAAGAUUGCGAUGUUGCACUGCAGAUAUGGUAGCAAUCUCAUUUACAAAUUGAUUCUUCCCUUGGUGAGAUGCUAUUGAAAGUUGCUUCACAGCUAUUACUCUCCCAUCAGAUAGAGUACCCUGUCAAGUACAACAUUUAACAAUUUGAAAAAUAUCCCCUACAUCCUAGUGAAAAUUGCUUUGUUUUCUAGUUGCAAUGUCAGGCUAUGAUCACCCAUUGAUGGCAAAGCCAGGAUGCAAGACAACUAUGAAUUAGCUGUUACCUUGUACACAGGUCCAUAUCCUCCCUCUCCAAGCUUGUUUGAACGGUUAAAGUCUUUUGUUGCAGAUCUCAACUCAGCAUAGCCGAAAAUGUUUGGUUUAGAGCCUAUCCCAACUAGCACUGCAGGCCCAAACCAAGACAAAAAUUAUGGACAGAGUAUAGGAUGGGAUACCAUAACUGUUUGUGAUAUCAAAAUUACAAAAUAAUGAAGGAUUUAUAUGACAAAAGAUGAAUUAAGUGGAACAUCUACCAAUAUGGAAUUACAAAUUCAUUGAGUUUCAUGAACAAGCUUGCUACAACUCCUAUUACAUAUUGUUAAAUUGUCAAUGGACUCUUCUUACCUUCCUCAUCAUCGUUGUCUUUUUCUCUCCACAAGUAGAACAUUAUAGAUAUCACUAUCAAGCCCAAAAUUCCAAGAGGUACUGCAAUGCCAACAAUCAACCCUGUGUGGUUCUUAUUCCCCGGAGUACUUGGGGGUAAUCCACUUACAGAUGGUUUGAAAGCUGAGCAGUAAAAACUCAGUUAUUAGGAGCAGAGAAGCAUGUAAGCCAUUUUAUUUAUUAUAUUCCAUCUUAAAUGAAGAUUCACUCGAAUCAUAUGCUUUACCUGAAACGACACUGAGAGCUGAAAUUGCUGGUCCAUAAUUACCUUGUUUAGGUAUGCAGCAGGUCCCUUUACCAGCCCAAAAUAGGUGAAUUUCGAGAUGGUUUUCUGACACAGUAGCACUGAAGUUUUUUAUAAUAGCUCUGUUAGGCCCUCCCGCCUCCUUUGAUAUGUCAAAAUCCUUCCACCGGAGAGUUCCCUAGAAGAUCGACAAUUAGAGAUAGAAUUAUUAUUUCUCAAUGCAUAAAGAGAGAGAGAGAGAGAGAUUGUAAUCUCGGAAUCACAUGAUCUCCGGCUCCAAAUUUUUGGUUCAGGGCAUUUGUUUACCUGAACAUAGAUAUCAAAAACACGCCUUCCACGACUCUCCCACCUUUCUGUGCUUGGAUCAGGAAAAUUUGUUUCUGCGAAUAACAAGCUUACAUUAUAAGGUCCAUUCACAAGACCCAGGCCAUAGUAUCUAAGUGAUCCGGCGGAUAUCCUUGACGUCUGAUAAAGCUUUGGAGUCCUGGUGCCCGUCACUUGAUCUUGAGUGUUUAGCACAUAAGAUGCAUUUUCUCUUCCAUUAAACAGACCCACUUUACUAACUGCCCAUUUUUCUGUAUUGGUCACAACAAAGGCCGAUGCGCCAAGAUAUGAGUUAUCACCCUCAUACACUAUGUUAUCAGCUCUCAUUUCUGGACUAGCACAUUUGAUUGAGAAGUUUGCAUCUGCAAAUGCAAAGACAAAAAUCGCUAGCUAUUUUCAGAUUGAAUUCCGACAUCAAAUUUCAACAAUUUUUUUGCAUAAAGGUCAAUAACUGGGUAAUAGGAAAUCAUUCAGGCAGUGUUUUUUUUAUUUACACAUCCAGCACGUUACAAAUAUUUUUCAAUUCUCAUCACAUGCAAACUCACUUUAUCACAUCAAAGCUUUUUAAAGCCAAGAUGGCUUAAUACACCAAAUUUACAAUGUAACUACUCUACAAUUUCGACUGACAGUGGUAACAAAAAUUAUCCCCACUUGCAACAAAGCUACCUGAAGUCAUAUUUAAAACUUCUGUACUACUUCCUGCUCUUAUUAAAGUUUUUUCCUCAGCAAUUCAGAAGUAUAGUUAGACAAGCGUUCUUUCUUCUUAAGUGUGGAGCCACAAUAGCUUAUGAAAAUAUGGUACUGCAAACAGCACAGAGAAGGCAGCUUACAUUGUGGAGCAUUUCUAUUGCAUGUGAAGUUCCUCUGAAGACAGUUCAAUCCUGGAAAGACACUGGCAAGCACAGAGAACAAUUAGUUCACAUUAUCUGUUAACAUGAUUAAAGGAAAAGUAAAGGACCAAAACUCACCUUAUGUUUGAUAUGUCAAAUUUGAAGUUGUUCACUGCCAGAUUCCUAUACAGUUCCAUGCAAUGCAUUAAUUGUAAAAUUUUUGGACAGAGAUGCAAGGGCAAGAGACUUCAUGAAAUUCUCAUACAACUGUUAUAGUACAAUGAUAAAAGUAAAGAAACUAGGACCAUUGGUUUAGUAUGAGCAAUAAGCUUGACAAGGUCUGAACUCCAGCACAAAGAGGCAAUUCUAGAAAAUGAAGAUGAACGGAGCAUUAUCAUAGUUUAAGAGACAUACAUUUGUAAUUCUGAAUUCACCCACAAUGGAAAAGUUCCUGAUAGAUGAUUAUGAGAUAAAUCUCUGCAGGAAAAAUUUUGUUAAGCACUAGUAAACAAGUUCAAACAUGUGAACCAACGUAUAUAUAUGUUAGACAAAUAAAAAACCUGGCUGAGUAUAUUGUUUUGUUCCCAGAGAAAGAAGCCAGAAGUCACAGCUGAUGCAUGCAUGGAAGAUGAUAAUCACUGGCCUAAAUCUAAAACACUUUCAAAUCAAAACAUGCAACGUAUAUUCUCAUGGUUUGAAUUGCAAGUACUGAGGAGAAAAUCAGUGUUUAUCUGUGGGUAUAAGGGCACAUUGAGGAGCAAGCAUAGGAAUGAAUUUCUAGAAUUUUUCUUUCAAUAAAAUCAGAAAGCUGAACCAAAGCUUACAUUUUUUGAAGGUUUUCACUUUUUUGAUCAGGAAGUGUUCCUGACAAACUAUUGUUUCCAAGAAACCUGGCCAUUGAAAGCAGCGUAAGCAGCAUCAGCAAUAACAAAACAAUGGCCAAAGUCCAAAAGUAAAAAUCUUGAAUUAAUGAAGGAAAGCUUCAAAGAAUUUACAAGUAUUCAAGAGAAUCGAUAUUGAACAAAGUUGCUGGGAUUUGGCCUGUUAAGUUGUUGAAACUCAAGUCCCUGCAAAAUAUAGAUAAAAAUUUUGGGAAAAAUAUAUAUCAAAAUGAGAAAAGGAAAGUCGCACUAUAUAAUUUAUUUCUUAAUAUCAACUUACAAUAUCUGUAACAUUUGAAGCUCUCCAAUUCCAAAUGGAAUAGUACCAGUGAUCAGAGCAUUUCUUAGGGACCUAUGGAGUAGAAGAACAAAAAACCAACUCAUAACUAAUAAGAGUCAAAAUGAGAAGGCUGCCAAACACAAUGAAAUAUAUAGGAAGUAUACUUACAAGUCAGUUAAGUUCUUCAAACUCAUAACGAAAUCAAGAGAUGAACUCACGUUAUAUAUAUCGCUCAUUUGUCUAAACAAUCAAUUCAAACAUCACGGAUAUGAUUCAUGCUUCCAAAGAGGGAAUGAGAGACCAAGAGAUUGUCAGGAAAAGAUUUACUCACAAGGAUUCUAAUGAAGCCAACUUAGACAAACUGGAUGGGAUAGGACCUUGAAAAGAAUUCCCCUGAAAUCUCCUACAGCAACAUUUUGACAAACAUGUUAGGAAAACUAUCAGAAGCCAAGCAAAAUCUUUAAUGCCCUACACAGAACACAGAUAAUGUAUAUAGUCAAGGAGUUUUACGAAGCAUACAAGGACUUAAGCUUAGUCCAAUUGCCAAUGAAGUCUGGUAUUUUGCCUGUAAAAGGAUUAUCUGAUGCCCACCUGAAAUUUAACAAAUUAAUCAAUUUAGGCGGCACAAUCUUUAUGCCGGAGAGAAACAAAAUGUCAUAUGUAAAAAACUUUGCUUACAGAGUUUGCAUAUUGCGAAGUUUAGCAAAUGUGGAGGGAAUUUCACCACCGGCCCCACAACUGUCUAUGUAACUGUUGAAUUUAUCAAUUGAAAAUUACUUUGUUUCAUAAACCUGCAGCUUUGCUAAAUUGAAAAAAAAAAUGAUAAUGAUCAAAUAUGUAAAAAGAAAGAAAGAAAUUUAGAAACUACAGUUGCUCAAGUUUGGCUAAGUUGCCAAGUUCUGGAGGGAGCGCUCCUGAGAAAUUGUUGGUACCAAAAGCACUGCAAUUUGAAAUUAAAAUUUUUACACUGAUUUAAAAGAAGAAGAAGAAGAAUAAAAAUAAAAAUGAAAUUGUUAAAAAUGAAAUUCCAAUCUUACAGAACAGUUAACUCCUUAAGGUUUCCCAGCUCCCUGGGGACAGGCCCCGAGAAGUCAUUGUGGGAAAAUGACCUGUACACAAAAAUAUAACACUCCGUUACACAACACACAAAGAAUAAAGAAUUUGCAGCCUAAUCCAAAAAUCAAAUCAGAGAAUAUUAGAAAAAGCCAAUUUCAUUACUUACAGAAACAUCAAUCGAGACAAAUUUCCAAUAAAUGAAGGCAAGGGGCCAGUGAAGAAAUUUUGAUCAAUUUUCCUACAAAAUUCAAAGAGAAAUUGUUAAUCAUGUUGAUUACGUAAAUUUGAUUUAUACAUACAAACUGAAUGACAGAUAAUAUAUAUAAGUGACAAAUCCAUACAGAACUGUCAGGUAUUGCAAAGUUACUAGCUCUUCAGGAAUCACCCCUUUUUUGUUUAGUCCAUAUACUCUCCUGUGAAAAAAAAAAAAACAAACCAUUAGAUUGCAGAUGCAUCAACCAUUUUAGAAAUUAAUAUUAAUUAACAAGCGCAGAGAUAUACUAAGAGAGCAUUACAGUUUAGUAAUGUGGCAAGUAGCACCAUUGUCAAAGGUGCAGUUACAAACAAUAGCAGGAUUGUUAUUUGGGCUCUCAAAUUCAGAAUCAGUUGCAUUGAGUGCAGAUCCACUGCAUGGGUUUCCACUUAUGUUCCAUAAUGGCACGGCCGGUGCAUCCCAUUGCUGCAGUAUUGAGUUCAAUGCCCUCACUGCUCAUCAAACACAUGCAUGCUAGUUUGUUACCAAAUGAUAUCAUUUAAUUCCAUAAAUUCAUUAACAUAUUGUGAUGCACCUGCAUGCUUGUAAGCCAAACGCGGCUGAUUUUCAAAAGCAACAGCAAGCUGUUUGCUUUAGGGUGCAUUUGGGGUUGAGAUUGGACAGCUGUAGCUUAAAAGUUAUAGCACUAAAGUGUUUGGUAAACACUAACUGCUGUAUCUUUUAAACUAUCUUGAUAUGAUUUUUCACUUAUAUAAUAAAAAAUAUAUUAUAUCUUAAUAAUUUUGUCAAAAUUAUUAUUUAAAAAUUAUAUUCACUAUAUAUUAUUAAUUUUUAUUUUAUAAUUACAAUUUUUUUUACAACAAUUGUAGCUUAAAAGUUGCAGUACCUCAAUCCCAAACAGACUCUUAAUUAGAGCACACGCAUACUUCACCUGCGUGCUUGUCAUGCAUGCUUAUAUACGGUGGGCACAUAUAAAGUGAAGAAUUGAAGCAGCUCUCACCAUUUUCAUAAUGGAACCGAAAAAGACAAUUGGAAGAUAGAAGAAAUUGAAAGAAAACGAGAGAAAGAAAGAAAAGAAAAGAAAAGAAGAGAUAAAAUAGAAAGAAGAAAAUAUAAGGAGAAAAGAAAUUAAGAAGCCAAGAGUGAAAAUCAAGUAAUAAUGGAAGCUAAUACGGGAAAGUUGAGGGGACAUGGAAUUCAACAAUUAGAAUUAUAUUUCGAGAAUUAGUGGAUAAUGGAUUUAGAAAGUAUGAACAGUUAUGUUAUAAUUUUUAGCAUACGUGUGAGUUUUUGAGUUUUUAUAUCAGUCGUUAAUUUUUUAUAGUAGUUUUUUAGUCCAAAAUUUUAAAGUGUGAAAAAGGUCUGAAAAAUUUUUAAAAUUACACAUCUUUAAAGUAUUAUGAAAUUAACACUUUAAUACUGUAGGAUUUAAAAGAUUUAUUGGACUUUCUCGCACUUUAAAAUUUUAAAUUGGAAAAUUUCUAUAAUUUUUGAAUCUUGUGUUUAGAAGAAAUUUAAGUUCUUAUGAAUUAACAGAAGCCCCACAAAACAAAACAGUAAUUGAGUCAGGAUUUGUGAUAUGAUUUAAUAGUAUGAUUUAGAAUUAUAUCAUGAUUAUAUGUAUGCUCAUUAUAUGAUUGAUUGAGUCCCUAAACGUGAUUGCAAAGCACCAUGUGUGUACUCUUCUUGUUAAGUGCUUUGUGUAUACAUAUUGAGAGUUAGAGUACUAUACAUGUGUGAUGUAGUUAAAUUCCAUUGGAUAUUAAGAGGUUAUUCCUCACUAUACUCACGCGAUGAUAAUCCCGACGAGUGCGACAAUUAUUUCCCCUGGGUAUUAUUUAGUGCAGUUUUCUCAUUUAUGAUUUUAUGUUUGCUUAUGUAUUAUGUUCAGUGUAGAAUUAUGUCAUAUGAUUGUGUACAAUUAUCAGUGCACUACUUUAUUUUAAUAUAUAUAUUUGUAUCUACUCAUUGAGUUGCAAGUUCACUAUUUUCUUAUUUAUCCAAAUUUUUCGAGGUUUUCUCAGGAUUUCAUACAAUUCAUUUUCCAAUUAGUUGAGGUUGGACCACGACGUGCAGUGUUGCAUGACUUGCAUUUUAAGCACGUUUAUGCUCAUAUGUAUAUAUUUAAGAUAUAUGCAUAUAUAGUGAGAUGUGAAGUGUGCAAAUUUCAAAUAUGCUUUUGAAUAAGGCAUAGAUGUUAUUAUAUAUUUUAACGUGAUGUAGUCGUUCUCUAGUGUGGGUGCCAUUUUUUUAUGCGACAUGCUUUUAAACCAUGGUAUUUAAGAGAGUUAGGUUUUUUUACUCUUUUAAGCCAUACGGUUUAAAAACGUGUCUGCAUUAAAAAAAGAAAAAAAAAAAGAGGGCGCUUGCACCUGAGAAUCAUUUUCAGGUUCGGGUUCUUUUUUUUUUUUAAUGUGAACACACUGCUAAACCAUGUGAUUUAGUAGCGUGUCUAGAGUUGACAAAAACACGGCCCUGAAGUCUGGUCGACAUGAGUUGGGCCUGAAAAUGGGUUGAAAAAUAUAAAGUCGACACAAAUUGGAUCUAAAUAAGGGCCUACCUUUUUAAUUUAUAAAAAAUAAAUUAAAUUUAAAUAAAAAACUCAAAAUAUUAAAUUAAUAUUUUUUUCAUAUUAGUAUUUGUGAUUUAUUAUGUUGUGUUAAUAAUAUUUUGUGUAUUAGACUAUUAUUCUAUUAUAUAUUGGAUAAUUAUUUUUUAUUUAAAUAUUUUUUACUUUAUUAAAAAAAUAUUUUAUAUUUAAUGGAAGAAGCCCAAGUCUGGCUCAGGGCAUGUCCAUCCAAACUUAGACCGAUCUAGGCUUGUUAUCUACAAUAUGGACAUGGGCUUAGGCUUGGAAAAACCUUACAUAAGCCCAUAUUUUGCCAACCUAAGCGUGUUCGUAUUAAAAAAAAAAAAAAUGAGAGCUCACACAUUAGAGAAUGACUAUAUAUGUACACUUUAGAGUUAAUGCACUUUAGAUAUGAUUAUAUAUAAAAUCAAUAUAUGUUUUUAUAUUAUUAAUUAAAGAGUGAAUAUGUACAACGAAUUUUAAAUUAGAAGAUUUUGAAUUCCCUCGUGUACGAUGUAAAAGUAGAAACACAGUUAACAAAUUUGAUAAAAAUUAAAUUAAGAGUUUCUAGCAAAGAAUGCCAAAAUUCAGUCCUGCCUCUAAAUUAAUUAAGUUAUCGCCUUUUUUUUUUUUUAUAUCGUACUGUUUGGGAUAUAAUUUGGAAGGUUUAGGAUCACUCUUUUUCCGAAUGUUUCAACUCAUUUAUUAAGAAGGAUCCACAUGCUUGACUAAUAGGGGCUUGAAACCAGGCAGCGAAGAUAGUCCUUAAUUAUUGUAUGUAUCUGUGAUAUAUCUCAAUGUGAAAAUUUCAAUUAUUAUAAUUAUUAUAUUGAAAAAAAAAAAGUGAUCCCAUUAGAUGAAGAAAUCAUUGAAGUUAAAUAGUUAAAGGUCUUUAUAUAUGUAGCCUCGUUUGUUUGAAGUCUAAAGAGAUAAUAAUGUGAAAUAUAUGAUUUAGGAAAAUAAAUUGAAAUUGCACAACUACUUUCACUUUUUGGAAACAGAAAAAGUCCACGAUUUUUUUUUUUGGAAUUUUAGGACUCAGAAUUAUAUAAAUAUAAAAUUUUAGUCUAAGUUAAAAGAAUAACACCUCUAAUUGGACAAAAUGAAACACAUAUAUUUAUAUCCUGGAUAAAAGUUCAGUUUUAAUUUAUGUUUUUGCUAAACAAUGAACCAAUAGUUAUUGGGGAAAAAAAAAAAAUUAUAUAUAUAUAUAUAUAUAUAUAUAUAUAUAUAUAAUUCUGAUCAUGACUCAGUACUUAAAAAAAAAAAAUUAAAUUAGUUAAAGAAAAUGGAUAUACAUACCUUCAGCAGGGUCGGUCGUAGCAGUGGUGUUAUUUUGAGCGUUGGAUAAACAAAUUAGCAGGAAGAGAUGAUCGAAUAGUACUAGUGAGGAAGAAAGCAGCAGCUUCAACGAUCCCACUCCAAAAUUCAUCUUCAUUUCUCGUUACAAUUUACAAACCCAGAAUAAGGAGAAUUUAAUGCUAAUUUUUGAAUCUAUAGUUUUGUUGAAGUUGAAGAAUAUGUAGAAGAAGAAGCUGGCCAGAGUCGGUCAAUAUUUGUUUUUUUCCUCCAGUCGUGCAUGCAUUUUAAGUCGUUCCAUCUAUCAAAGAAAAAGUCGUUAAAAAAAGAAAUAAAAAAAUAAAAUAAAAUAAAAUAAAAAUGUAUCAGAAUUGACCAAAUUCAACUCUCGUAUGUGCAUAAUAAAAACAAUAUAAUACAUUGCAUCUUAACCAAUACGAUGAAAUCUUAGUGUCUCUUUCCCCACCCUAACCGGAUUAUUAUUAUCCACAGCACUUUUGCUGACGCAAACUCAACAUAAAAUUGUAUCAACAUAUUCAAUUUAGAAGAACGCAGAGUGUUACUCCCAGGGACACAGUAACAUUUGUACACACCCAGAGCAGAAGAGGGGAAAAACAAUAUCUGCACAUGCUGACGAAGCAAAGCAAUGAAUUAAUCAGAGUCUAGACGUUGGCUGAAUUGUCAGGCUUGAAUUUAGUAGCAGCAGCAGCAGGAGGGGAUGGGUAAGUGAAUGUCGUAGCUUCACUGCCUGUGCCUGGCUGUUAAGGAAGCUCAUAUUUGCAAGAUGGUCAGCAGAGCAGAGGAUUACAGAGUUGAGGACAAAGGAAAAUCUAUAACACUUCAUGACCUGGAAGGGACACUUAAAUCCAGUGAAACACCACAAGCCUCAUUGGAGGAACGAAUUCAAACUCAUACUGAAAAGAGUUCUAGCCAUAUACCAUCUACUAGAAACUCGGAUGAAACUGUUGUAUCAGAAUCAACAGCUCACGAUUUAUGUAUUUCAAGCAUCCUGGUUAUUAUUUUUUCAUGGUAUCAGAGCUUUCGUGAGAAUAAUGAACAUGGCCAACAAAGAACCAUCACUCUCUAUCUCAUCCUUUCACCAAUGUGCUAGCCUCAUAUCUAUAAAGCUCAGCCCCUCAAACUUCUUGCUUUGGAAAUCUCAAGUAUUUCCGUUACUGCGUAGCCUUGGAUUGAUGCACCAUCUAACAGGAGUUGGGAAACCAGAGGCUGAGAUGGAAGACGAUGAUGGCAAAAGCGUUCCCAAUCCUAAAUAUGAAACUUGGGUUAACAAUGAUGGCCUUCUAACCUCCUGGUUAUUGGGAAUCAUGUCUGAAGAAGUGCUAGGGAUGAUAGUCGGAGCAGAAUCAGCCCACCAAGUGUGGAAGUCUCUUGAAGAGCAGCUGCUGCCCAUGACAAAAGAAAAGAUUGUUUACCUCACCGAUCGUCUAAUGAAUCUUAAGAAAGGAUCGCUGACUAUAUAUGAAUACAUUCGAAAAUUCAAAACUAUUUGUGAUAGUUUGACUGCCGUGAAGAAACCAGUGGACGAUGUCGAUAAAGUAUUUCAAUUGGCAAGUGGACUUGGACCAGAAUAUCGAGACUUUAAGGUAGCAAUGCUGGCAAAACCUCCAUACCCUACAUAUAAUCAGUUUGUUUUAGCCUUGCAAGGACAUGAACAGAUUUUAUGCAAUGAGCAAGAAGAUAAGAAGCAAUUCGUCAACCAUGAACAAGCCUUUAGAGAGGAAGAGGUAGAAAUCAGGGGGGUCGCUUCAACUCAAGGGGAAGGGGUUUUACGCCAGCAGGAAGGAAUGGAAAUCAAAAUUUUGUGAACCAAAGUCAACAGAACAAUAACAAUUUUCAGAAAUUUCAUGCUGGUAACAACAGUGACAUAAAGAAUGCCAAUCAACAAAACGUGGACCCAGGUGAUAAAACUAUAUGUCAAAUUUGCUUUAAACCUAAACAUACAGCUUUAGAAUGUCGAAGCAGGUUUGAUCACUCGUAUCAAUCUGGGGAAAUUCCUCAUGCUCUUGCUGCCAUGCAUAUAAAUGACGAAGAUGAUGAUCCUACAUUCUAUGCUGACUCUGGAGCAACAACUCACAUCACCAACAACUCAGGUAAUAUAAGAAAAAUCAUUCCAUAUAAAGGAAAUGAUUCUUUAUAUGUUGGUAAUGGUAAGGAUCUUAAAAUUACACACAUAGGUGAUACUGUGUUAAAUACCAAUCACGGUUGCUUGAACCUAAAAAAUGUCGUUGUUGUUCACGAUAUUAAAAAGAAUCUCCUAUCAGUAGGGAAGUUAACAACUGACAAUUCAUGUGUUAUUGUUUUCUCAUCAAAUGGUUUCUUGAUUAAGGACAAGCAGGGAAAGACGCUUGCGAAAGGACAUAAACAAGGAGGAUUGUACGCUCUCGAGGAGAAAGCAAAGCAAGCAUACACAUCAAUUCAAGGAAAUAAAGCAAAUUUUGACAUUUGGCAUCGACGAAUGGGGCACCCUCAUGAAAAGUUUCUGAAAAUUUUACAAGAAAAACAACUCAUUGAUAUAUCGAGUUGGAAAAAAUCAGAAAAUAUUUGUAUUAAUUGUCAAAUGGCAAAAAGUUGCAAACUACCUUUUAAUUCUUCUAAUAAAGUUGCGAACUUUCCUCUUCAGAAAAUUCAUUGUGACUUAUGGGGACCAGCCCCAAUCUCAUCUACUCAAAGAUUUAAUUAUUAUGCUAUUUUUAUUGAUGACAGUAGCAGAUUUACGUGGCUAUAUCCUUUGAAAUUUAAAUCAGAUUUUUUUAAUUGUUUCUUAGAAUUUCAAAGUUUUGUAGAAAACCAAUUUGACAGGAGAAUCAAAGUAUUCCAAAGUGAUGGAGGGGGUGAAUUUCAAUCAGGAAGUUUUAAAAAUCACUUGAAAAAAUGUGGAAUUCUCCAUCAAAUUUCAUGCCCACACACUCCGGAACAAAAUGGAGUAGCUGAGAGAAAGCAUAGACAUGUGGUAGAAAUAGGUCUCACCCUCAUGUAUCAAGCAAAUUUACCACAAAAUUUGUGGGUUGAUGUAUUUCUCACUGCUGUACACCUGAUAAAUAAAAUGCCAUCCACAGUGUUGAAGAAAAAGAGCCCAUUUUUCCAAUUAUACAAUAAACAGCCAGACUACAAAUCAUUACGGGUAUUUGGAUGUAGAUGCUUUCCAUAUCUCAAGAAGUAUGGUAAGAGUAAAUUUACAAAGAAAACAUACCCAUGUGUUUUCAUUGGAUAUAGCUUAAGCCAAAAAGGUUAUAAAUGUCUUGAUCCGACAACUAAGAGACUAUAUAUAUCAAGGCAUGUGAUCUUUGAUGAAAUGUGCUUUCCUUUUGUUGACUCUUCUAAUUAUUCUGUACAGCUUCAAACGGCAAGACUAGCAUCUUUGGAUGAGUGGGAUAAAAAGACAAAACAAAACAGCUCAAUUCAAAAUAAGUUACCAGCUUUACAAUCUUAGGAUUUCACUCCACAUUUAACUUGUUGUGAAGGAGUUGCGGACAAAGGAAAAUCUAUAACACUUCAUGACCUGGAAGGGACACUUAAAUCCAGUGAAACACCACAAGCCUCAUUGGAGGAACGAAUUCAAACUCAUACUGAAAAGAGUUCUAGCCAUAUACCAUCUACUAGAAACUCGGAUGAAACUGUUGUAUCAGAAUCAACAGCUCACGAUUUAUGUAUUUCAAGCAUCCUGGUUAUUAUUUUUUCAUACAGCAGCAGCCACAUUCAGUUACGAGUUGAUGACAUGGCAUGCCAGCUGGAGCCUGGUGGUUAUGUAAAUAGUUUUGCAUGUGUUAAUUAGCUUAAGCUGUUAUGAUUAGUUGUUAGAAUUAGUUAAUUAGCUGUAGCUAAUUACAACUAUCUGAGCUGAGCUUCAGCUUAGUAUAAAUAACAACAACAUUAUACAUAUUAUUAAUAACAUGAUUAAUGAAAAUGAUGUUCUAGAAAACUCUUAGAUUCAGUUCUUAUUUUCUCACUGAUUUUCUCAGUUGCCAAACAAUAUUUUCGUUCUUCAACUUGGUAUCAGAGCUAGUAGCAAUGGCUUCAGUCCAUCUAGCUUCUUUUUCUUCUCAAGCGCCAGUCAAUCACACAGCUGUUAACUCAAUAAAUGUGACAUUUACUUUCAAUACACCUAUUAAGCUAGAUUAAUCCAAUUAUUUGAUUUGGCGAUCUCAAGUUCUUGCUUUAAUUCGUGGCAACAGACUUGAGAAAUUCAUUGAUGACUCAACCACUCCACCUCCUUCACACAUUGCUCAAAGAAUUAGAGAUGAUCUGAGAUCUGUAGAGAAUCCAGACUUUGUAACUUGGAGAUCACAAGAUCAGGUGCUUCUUGGCUGGUUGCUUUCUUCAAUGAGUGAAGGUAUCAUUAGUUUAGUCUUCAAUCUAGAGACUUCUUGUGAGGUGUGAAAAGCUAUUGAUGUUCAGUUUGGAUCACAAUCUAAAUCUAGGCUUUUGCACUUGAGAUAUAUGAUGAACUCAACUAGGAAAGAUGGUCUAAAAAUUACUGAUUAUUUCAUUAAGAUGAAAAAUAUUGCCGAUAAUAUGGCUACAUCAGGAAAUGCAUUAAGUGAUGAUGAUUUAAUCCUGCAUAUACUCUCUGGCUUUGGUCCAGAUUAUAACUCUGUUGCUACCUACAUUACUGGACAAGUAGGAGUGGGGAAAAUGAAUGGAAACAAAGCUUAUGCUAUGCUCCUAACUCAAGAAGCUAGGAUUGAACAACAAACUCAUAUGCUGGCUAAUACAAAUGUGAAACAAAAUUUUGAGGCUAAUCUUGCUCACAACAGAGGUUAUAAAAGGGGAAAUAUAUCAGGAGGAAAAGGUUUUGGUGGCUUUGGAUAUAAUUAUGGCUAUGGAAACAAUGGAAACAUUAACAAUGCUGGCUACAAAGGAGGUUAUAGAGGCUCUGGAUUUAAUGCUAACAAUGGAAAUGUUUAUGGCACCAAUCAUCAGUUCAAAGCUUAUCAAGGAGAUAAUUAGAGAGGUGGAGGAAGAGGUAACUGGAAUCAAAAUGCUGGAAAUAGUGGAUUUAACAAUAGCAGACCACCUGGACACACUAAGCCUCAGUGGAAUGUCUAUAAGCCAACCUGUCAAAUUUGUUUCAGAACAGGUCACAUUGUUAAUAUUUGCUGGAAACUUAAAGAGUUUAUUGCAUCUGGAGCUUACAGACCACCACCAAACAGAAAUCCAAAAUUUGCAUAUUUGGCUAAUAUGGAGGGACCUGCUGAUGCAAACUGGUAUCUAGACAGUGGUGCAACACACCAUCUGACAAAUGAUAUCAACAAUAUGCACGUUUCUGAAGCUUUUGCAGGUGCAUCUAAACUUUUUGUUGGCAAUGAUGUUGGAUUGAAUAUAACACAUAUUGGAAGUGCUGCAUUGAAAUCAUAUAACUCCAAUAAUGCCUCAUUAACUAUUAAACUAGAUGAUAUCCUUUUAAUGCCACAAAUUACUAAAAACCUCAUUAGCAUCUCUAAGCUCACAAAAGAUAAUGAUGUUGUGAUAGAGUUUACUGAUAACUUUUGUUUUGUGAAGGACAAGGUGAGGAAUUUGAUCAUACUGCAGGGCAAGGCUGAAAAAGGUUUAUAAAAAUUGCUAUUGGUUUCAUCUAAUAAGACAAUCUCUUCUACUUCUAAUCAAAGCUAUGUUGUUGAGUCAGUUGUAUCAACCACUCCUCUUUCAAUGUUUUCAGUUGUCAAUUUUACUCUUUCAAAUAACACCUCUUGCAUGUAUACUGCAGCAACUUCCUGUAAAAACUCUAAGUGUUUGUUAAGUACAUAUGUACUACAUCAAAGAUUGGGAUAUCCAUCUUCUAAGAUCUUGAAUCAUGUAAUCAAAUCAUGUUCAUCUCUCAAUCUUGUCAAUAAGAAUAAAACCUUUGAUUUCUGUAAUGCUUGUAAAAUAGGAAAAAUGCACAAGCUUCAUUUUUCAGCUACUGAUAUCAAAACAAAGUCUCCCCUGGAAAUAUUGCAUACUGAUUUAUGGGGACCAACCCAUGUGAUUUCAUUACAAGGCUACGGAUAUUAUAUAAGCUUUGUUAAUGGUUUCACAAGAUUUACUUGGAUAUUUCAUUUGAAAACCAAAAGUGAAACAUUGUCAGUCUUUAAAAUUUUCAAAAACCAAAUUGAAAAACAACUUGACAGACCUAUAAAAUGUCUUCAAUCAGACUGGGGUGGAGAAUUUAGAUCCUUUGUUAACUUUCUUCACACAUAGAGAAUUCACUUUAGACAUUCAUGUCCAUAUACUCACAACCAAAAUGGAAUAGUAGAGAGAAAGCAUAGAUAUAUUACUGAACUUAGUCUUACUCUACUUGCACAAGCAACUUUACCUAUUAAAUUCUGGUGGGAUUCUUUCCAUACAGUCAUAUACAUCAUAAACAGAUUACCCACCCCAGUUCUAUCAAUGAAAUCUCCUUAUGAAUCUAUUUAUCAUAUUUCUCUAGAUUACAAAUUCUUAAGAACAUUUGGAUGUUUAUGUUUUCCCUUUCUCAGAAACUACAAUCAACACAAGUUUCACUCUCAUACAUCUAAAUGUAUUUUCCUGGGGUAUAGUCCUUUGCAUAAGAGUUACAAAUGUCUCAAUCCCUCUGGUAAAAUCUAUAUAGCUAGUCAUGUUAUUUUUUUAUGAAACCUCAUUUCCAUAUUCAUCUAUUUUCAACUCAUCUUCUCCAUCCAAAUCUUCUGAAUUUCAAUACAAUCUUUUUCAACAGUAUAUUAUUCAUGUUUCCAAUAGCAAUUUAAACACCUUUGAAGUCGAUACUGUAGAUAAUGAUCCAUAUUCUCAUCACCUUGAUACCAUAUCUUCACCACCCUCUUACAACACAUCAUCUCAACCCUCACCACCUGCUACUUUAUCCCAUUCAGCCAUAACUUCUUCACCAACUCAACCAAUUCCCUUUAUACCUCUAACUGAUACAACACAAAAUACAUCAUCCUUACAACCCAUCAUAUCUCACUCUCAAAUUCAACCAACACAAUUAUCUCAACCUAAACCAAUUCUCUUCACACAUAAAAUGAUCACUAGAGCAGAGGCUGGUAUAUUCAAACUAAAAGCCUACUUAACAAAUCACAAUAGCCUGGAACCAUUUACUGUUUCAGAAGUAUUAUCUGAUCCCAAACGGAAAGCAGCAAUGUAGACUGAAUAUAAUGCUAUGAUUAAAAACAAAACUUGGAAUCUUAUGGCUUUGUGCUCAUCCUAUAAACUAGUUGGGUGCAAAUGGGUGUUCAGAACCAAGUACAACACAGAUGGGUCAGUUUCAAAAUAUACAGCUAGGUUGGUAGCCAAGGGAUUUCAUCAAACUGCAGGUAUUGAUUAUUCAGAAACAUUCAGUCCUGUAGUGAAGUCCUUAACAAUGAGAUUAAUUCUUAGCCUAACUGUCAUGCAAGGUUGGAAGGUUAGACAAAUUGAUGUCAAUAAUGCAUUUUUAAAUGGGGAUUUGUCAGAGGAUGUGUAUAUGAUUCCGCUUGAGGGUUUUGUAUCCAAAGAAGACUACAUAUGCAAGCUUAACAAGGCACUAUAUGGAUUGAAACAAGCUCGAAGAGCUUGGUAUGAUAACCUGAAAAGUUGCCUUACUACUUGGAAAUUCUUCAAUUCUAAAGCUGACACAUCUCUCUUUGUUAAACAUUAUGAAAAAGGCAUUAUUAUUGUCUUAAUCUAUGUUGAUGAUAUUUUGGUUACUGGCCCUAACUCAGCAUUACUUGAAGAUUUCAUUAUUAAACUCAAUAAGGUUUUUGCUCUCAAGGACCUGGGAUUAGUGGCCUAUUUUCUUGGAGUACAAGUUUGUUACACAGCUCAUGGAAUGCAUCUCUCACAGAUGAAAUAUAUUAAGGAUUUGUCAAGCAAAGCCUCAAUGCAAAAUUGCAAAAGGUCAGAUACACCUUUCAGUACUGGUUUCAAACUGGAGAAAAAUGUUAAGGGUCCACUGGGGCAAGAAUUUGAAGAACCAGCACUUUAUGGAAGCUUCGUUGGGGGACUUCAAUACUUAAUUCUCACCAGGCAUGACAUUGCAUAUUAUGUACAUAAACUCAGCCAGUAUCUUAGCAAUCCUACACUCCAGCACUGGUUAGCAUCCAAGAAAGUUCUCAGGUAUCUUCAAGAUAUAAUCACUCAUGGUUUAUACAUUCAAAAUGAGGGAACACUUGGAAUUACAGGUCUAACAUGUUACUCUGAUGCUGACUUGGCAUGUGAUGUUGAUGAUCGAAAAUCUAUUGGGGCUUACUGUAUUUACCUUGGUAAUAAUCUGAUUUCCUGGUCAUCAAAGAAGCAAGUUAUUGUAGCUAAGUCCAGCACAGAGAGUGAAUGCAAGGCACUAUCUUCAGCAAGUUCAGAACUCUCUUGGUUGCAAUCCCUACUGUCAGAGCUUAAUAUCAUGCAAUUACCAACUCUAAUUCUUUGGUGUGACAAUCAGAGUGCUAGAGAAUUAGCCCGAAAUCUUAUUCUUCACUCUAAAUCUAAACACAUUGAAUUGGAUGUUCAUUACAUUAGAGACAAAGUGGUUAGAAAAGAAUUAGAAGUAAGAUACAUUCCUACUGAAGAACAAGUUGCUGAUGUCCUUACUAAAGCUCUGUCAUUUAUCAAGUUUAACUAUUUUCGAUUCAAGCUCAAUGUCAUCAACAUGCCAUUGAGCUUGAGGGGGGAUGUUAAGGAAGCUCAUAUUUGCAAGAUGGUCAGCAGAGCAGGGGAUCACAGCAGCAACCACAUUCAAUUACGAGUUGAUGACAUGGCAUGCCAGCUGGAGCCUGGUGGUUAUGUAAAUAGUUGUGCAUGUGUUAAUUAGCUUAAGCUGUUAUGAUUAGUUGCUAGAAUUAGUUAAUUAGUUGUAGCUAAUUACAACUAUCUGAGCUGAGCUUCAGCUUAGUAGAAAUAGCAACAACAUUGUACAUAUUAUUAAUAACGUGAUUAAUGAAAAUGAUGUUAUAGAAAACCCUUAGAUUCAGUUCUUAUUUUCUCACUGAUUUUCUCAGUUGCCAAACAAUAUUUUCGUUCUUCAACUCUGGCGGAGGCGCUGGCACCCCAAAAACUUGUGGAUUGGUUCUGAUAUCUUGUCUUCCUCUAGCUCUUCCCAAGUAAAAGCACCCAAAUCCAAGCAAUAGGCUGAACAAGAUCAACGGUAGGGAUAUCACCACCACCAUACCCAUCUUUAUUUGAUUUGAUGAUCAGAAAUCGCAGCAGAAGAGAGGUUUAUAUAAGAAUAAGAGAAUGAGAGAGAGCUAUGAAUGAACUAUGAUGAUGACGAUGAUAUGGAGGUUUCGGAUUCUCUCUUCUUUUAAAAACAUGUUUCUUUCUUAACGGUUGGCUUAACGUUCAAGCUCUAACGGUUACUUUUAUUGUUGGGCCAGUUAAAUAAUUCUCCUAAUACAAAACAAGGUUAAAUAAAUAUUGCGAUGGCUAUUCAUCCCGCAAUUAUAAAGGUAUAGUAUUUUGUUGAUUCUUGUUUUAAAAGAAAAAGAAAAAAGACUCUAUAGAGUUCAAUGUAUGGAGCCUUCUCAUGGUGUUCGGAUUCAACAUGUGCAAGUCCUCUAAUCAGCCGACCCAUUUUCUAUCUAAACUAACUUUUAACUGAAAGCUAUGAUUUCAUAAUUUUUAAACCAGUGUAAUAGAACAUGAAGCGAAAAAGAAGAUGGAAAGAUGAAGAAUAAUAAUACAACAUGCUUGUUACCUCAAUACAUUAAUAAGGGUAAUUAACGGUCUACAAAUACAUUUUGUUUGUUAUUUUGAGGAGGACUUGUUUCAUUUUAUUUACGUGCAUUGAUGUCUUCCCAAAAUCAGAAGUUUUUAAUGAACUUCGAGAAUGUUGCCUGCCACUCGUAGUCAUAGAACAGUAUUUCGUGCUACACAUAUGCAUGUACUGUAAUUGCUAGAAAUAGUGAGAUCAUUCCACCGGCACAAGGGUGCUUUUGUUUCAGAAGCUGGCAAAUAGUGAGAUCACAGCCGCGACGCGACAAAAUU